rnacentral:rRNA from 1 species
GACGAACGCUGGCGGCGUGCCUAAUACAUGCAAGUAGGACGCAGUUGCGAACGGGUGAGUAACGCGUAGGUAACUACCUAUUAGAGGGGGAUAACUAUUGGAAACGAUAGCUAAUACCGCAUACUAGUAGAUGGACCUGCGUUGUAUUAGCUAGUCGGUAGGGUAAUGGCCUACCUAGGCAACGAUACAUAGCCGACCUGGGGAGGGGAUCGGCCAAACGGGGACCGAGCCACGGCCCAGACUCCGACGGGAUGCAGCAGUAGGGAAUCUGCGGCAAUGGGGGGAACCCUUACCGAGCAACGCCGCGUGAGUGAAGAAGGUUUUCGGAUCGUAAAGCUCUGUUGUUAAGGAAGCGGUACUUAACCAGAAAGGGACGGCUAACUACGUGCCAGCAGCCGCGGUAAUUC